GCCUGGGUGGCUCAGUCGGUUUGAGCGUCCGACUUCGGCUCAGGUCAUGAUCUCGCGGUUUGUGGGUUCGAGCCCCGCGUCGGGCU
rfam:Felis catus isolate Cinnamon breed Abyssinian chromosome A2, whole genome shotgun sequence.